ensembl:lncRNA
AUGACAGAAGAACGCGACCAUAACAUGGACCCAGCGGACUCAGCUCACCUCGAGAGAGAGGUGGACCUCGCUCGCAUCCUCGGACUGGUGACUCGCAUAAGCCACGCCUCGGAUUUGCAGACAGUCUCAGUCGGGUUGAAUGCCAUACAAGCCAUAUUCGACAGAAGUCCUCAACUGCGCCAGCUUUCUAUUGCCUCGGAGUUCGGCCGUUCGCUGACCCAGGCUAAGGAGGCAGUCAAAGCCCGGGAGCUGGCCCAUUUCACCCUCAUCUCCUCAUCCACACUGCCUCAGUCACAGCGAGCAAGCCCUCUCACGCCGCCGCAGCGGACAGAGCUUUCUUCAGCCCCGCUGCAGCAGCUGCAGUCGCAGCAUCGGACUCUUUCCUCCCUCACGUCUGGUUCCGACCACCCUUCACCUGCCUCGUGCCUGGCAGGAAUGUGGUCGGAGGAUGAGGGUCUGGUCACCGUUGCUCCGACACCUUCCGUUUCCUCUGCCGCUCCCGUUUCCAAGAGGAAGCGGCGUUCUCGUCGUCGCCGUCCCUCACCGCAACCCGAGUCCAGUUCCUGCUCUGAACUGUUGGACGUGGUGAGUGAACAGAACAAUUGUCACCCGGCUUCUUCCACGCUGGGAAUCUUUAGCUCUGAGCCAGUGAAUUCAGAGGCAGUUAACUUUUUGACUGUUAACUCAGGGUCUGCAAAGACAGAAACUGAUGAUCCCAAGAUGGCUGACUCUGAGGCUGCCUUUCAGGACUCUGAACAUUCUAAUGAUUUUCCUUUUGUUUCUUCGAAGUUUGAGAAAGUUCCGGUGUCAGAUGACCUUAUUUUAUUCGAGUCGAACGAAGCUUUGUGUUCAGUAACUGAGAAAGGUGUGUUUGAGUUUCAUUCUGAAAAUACUGGAGUUUCUGUUUUUACUUCUCAGCCAAGCUAUGUUGAUCCUGAGCCACCUGUUUUUGGAUCAGUUAAUAGUACAAGGAUGGCUUCGGGAGCACUAGUUAAUACUGAGCUUUCAGAUGUCAUGUGUGGAUCUGUUAUGGAAAUUUGUGACCUUGACAAUAAUAAUCUCACUCAGGAUAUUAAAAGUCCUGUCCAGAAGACUGUUUGCUGCUUCACACAAAAGACAAUCUUUCCAACCACUGAACUAAACAUGGACCGCUUAAUCUUCCAGCUAAUUCCUUUCAGCACUGUUCAGGCUACACCUCUUGAAACUGUUGUUGAUGUUGCUUCACCCAUGUGUUACGCGGCUCACCAGCCAGUUCAUUCUGAGGCUGCCUGUGAUAAACCUCAUGUUUCCAUAACCUCCCCUGAGUUAAAUUUCACAAGCCCAGAGUAUGCUCAUUCAAAGACUGUUUGUGUUGCUCAUUGUGAACUCUUCAAGACUAUGCGUUCUGUGACUGUCCAGGUUAAGAGCAACAAGGUGCCAUCUGCUGUUAACAAGCUGGCAAAAAUACUUGGUUUGAACACUGCAGAGUUGGUUGCUCAAGUUAAAGUUUCGUUUCCACGAUCAUGUCUGUACAACUCUGUGCGCCAUGCUUUUCAGCCAGUAGCCCUGGACACUGCGUGUGGAACUUCCCAGGCUGCGUUUUGUAAGACUGUGGUUAAUGUUGCUUCACACCCAGUUUCUUCAGAUACCGCUUGUAUGAUUUCUCCAGCACCUGUGACGACCCCUGAACUCAUAUUUUCUAAAACUGCUAAUGUCAGCCUGGACAAUUUAAGAAUAGCAGUUUUACCAAGGUCAGCCUGCCAUAAGUCUCGGUUUUCUAGAACCAUGUCUGGUACCAUAAACCUGGUUUUCCCUGUGACUGUUACAGCUCCUCUGCUCUGCUCUCCGCAUCCUGUUCUAGUUCCCAGGCAGACUAUGGCUCCGUUCAUCCCUGCACCCGUAUCUGCUCCUCGGGUGGGGAUGGCGGGCGCCCGGUCAUUGCCUGUGCCUGUUGUGGUUCCCUGGGUGGGGGCAACUGAGACCCCGCUGACUCCUGCACCCGUUUCAGCUCCUCGGGUGGGAGCAGCGGCGGUCCAGCUAGCUCCUGCACCCACACCGGCCCCCAGGGGUAAGGCAGCCAGAACACAGCUCUUCCCUGGACCUGUAUCUGUUCUUCAGGCGGGGAUGGCUGAUGUUCGGCCAGGCCCAGUACCCGUCCCUGUGCCCCGGAGAAGAGUUACUGAGAGUCGGUUACCCGCUCUGUUGCAAGUUCAACAACCAUCACUACACCCAGCACGACCAUCAUCACGACCACCACUACAACUUCUGUUUCAGUCAACCGCCCAGCCGGUAACUCGGCAAUUAGUGCAAGCACCGAUUCAGCUACCUAUGCAGCCAGGGGUCCCAAUUACCUCUGGCCCUACAUCAGCUCCUGCUGGAGGCUCGGGUGAGCACAUCCAGCACUCUGCGGCUCCCACGCCGCCAUCCGUCUCCGCUGGGGUUCUGGAGAGCCCGGCCAGCACUUCCUCGUCUCCGCUGGAGGGUCCAAGGGGCCCGUUCAGCCUCCUGUCUCCGCUUGAGGGUCCGAGGGGCCCGUUCAGCCUCCUGUCUCCGCUGGAGGGUCAGAGGGGCCCGUUCAGCAACCCGUCUCCGCUGGGGGUUCUGGAGAGCCCGGCCAGCACUUCCUCGUCUCCGCUGGGGGUUCUGGAGAGCCCGGCCAGCACUUCCUCGUCUCCGCUGGAGGGCCCGAGGGGCCCGGCCAGCACUUCCUCGUCUCCGCUGGAGGGCCCGAGGGGCCCGUUCAGCAACCUGUCUCCGCUGGAGGGUCCGAGGGGCCCGUUCAGCAACCCGUCUCUGCUGGGGGUUCUGGAGAGCCCGGCCAGCACUUCUUCGUCUCCGCUGGGGUUCUGGAGAGCCCGGCCAGCACUUCCUUGUCUCCGCUGGAGGGUCCGAGGGGCCCGUUCAGCCUCCUGUCUCCGCUGGAGGGUCCGAGGGGCCCGUUCAGCCUCCUGUCUCGCUGGAGGGUCCGGGGAGCCCGUCCAGCUAUCCCCACCGCUUGCAGCAGCAGCAGCUGCGGCAGCUCCACCACCUGCGGCUUCCACGCCGCCGCCUGCAGUGCCUUCGUCUCCGGCUUCCACGCCUUCGCCUGCAGCGCCUUCGCCUGCAGCGCCUUCGCCUGCAGCGCCUUCGUCUGGUCCAGCCUCCGUGUCCUCUUCCUCAUCUGGUCCAGCAUCAUCUUCAGCUUCAUCCACGUCUCCAGCGUCAGCAUCAGCUUCACUGGCUUCCGCAGCUGCCACGCUGCCGCCCGGUCCUGCCUUGCCUGGUCCGGCCUCAGCUUCACCUGGUCCAGUAACAGCUUCAGCCUUACCCACGCCGCCUGCGGCCUCCGAGCCUUCGUCCUCGCCGCCUGCGGCCUCCGAGCCUUCGUCCUCGCCGCCUGCGGCCUCCGAGCCUUCGUCCUCGCCGCCUGCGGCCUCAGCAUCUGUCCCGUCCUCGCCUGGUCCUGCAGUGGCAACUCUGCUGUCAGCGCCAGCUCGACCUACGCCUCCUCGCCUUUGUUGGCCGCUUUCCAGGCCUCUGAGUCGGCGUCAUGGCCGUCGAGGGCGGCCCCCUGAACUGUUUGCCCGUCACCGCCGUUGCCGUGCGCACGGUCGGCCACCUGAACUGCUUCCCCCUUGA